AGAGUUUGAUCCUGGCUCAGGGUUAACGCUAGCGGUGCGCCUAACACAUGCAAGUCGAGCGGGAUUGAGAGAAAGCUUGCUUUCGAUCAUGAUAGCGGCGAACGGGUGAGUAAUAUGUUGGUAUCUGCCCUUAAGUCAGGAAUACCCCACUGAAAAGUGGUUUAAUGCCGGAUACACUCUACGGAGUAAAGAUUUAUCGCUUAAGGAGGAGCCUUCAUUCUAUCAGUUAGUUGGUGAGGUAAUGGCUUACCAAGACUAUGACAGAUAGCUGGUCUGAGAGGAUGAUCAGCCACAAUGGAACUGAGACACGGUCCAUACUCUUACGGGAGGCAGCAGUGAGGAAUCUUCCACAAUGGGCGAAAGCCUGAUGGAGCGACACCGCGUGAAGGAUGAAGGUCUAACGACUGUAAACUUCUUUUCUGAGGGAGCAUAAUGAGAGUACCUCAUGAAUAAGCACCGGCAAAACUCGUGCCAGCAGCCGCGGUAAUACGAGUGGUGCAAGCGUUACCCGGAAUUACUGGGUGUAAAGCGUUCGCAGGCGGAUAAAUAAGUCAGAUAUGAAAGACCGGAGCUCAACUCCGUGUUUGUGUUUGAAACUAUUUAUCUAGAAUUAGSGAGAGGUAAGCGGAAUUCUAAGUGUAGGGGUGCAAUCCGUAGAUACUUAGAAGAACACCAAAAGCGAAGGCAGCUUACUGGAACUAUAUUGACGCUAAGGAACGAAAGCGUGGGGAGCGAAAAGGAUUAGAUACCCUUGUAGUCCACGCCCUAAAUGAUGAUAAUUAAGUGUUGCACUUUGUGCAGUGCUGUAGCUAACGCGUUAAAUUAUCCACCUGAGAAGUACGAUCGCAAGAUUAAAACUCAAAGGAAUAGACGGGGACCCACACAAGCAGUGGAUCAUGUGGUUUAAUUCGACAAUAAACGGGGAAUCUUACCCAGACUUGACAUCCCAAGAAUCUUUUGGAAACAAGAGAGUGCUCGUAAGAGAACUUGGAGACAGGUGCUGCAUGGUUGUCGUCAGCUCGUGCCCUGAGGUGUUCGGUUAAGUCCGUUAACGAGCGAAACCUAUGCCGUUAGUUAUUAUGUCUAACGGGACUGCCCUUGUUAAUAGGGAGGAAGGUGUAGAUGAUGUCAAAUCAGCAUGGCUUUUACGUCUGGGGCCACACACAUGAUACAAUGGUCGGUACAAUGAGUAGCAAUAUGGUAACAUGGAGCUAAUCUUAAAAGCCGAUCUCAGUCCGGAUUGAGGUCUGAAACUCGACCUCAUGAAGUUGGAAUUGCUAGUAAUCGUGAAUCAGAUAUGUCACGGUGAAUAUGUUCCUGGGUCUUGUACUCACCGCCCGUCAUGGCAUGGGAGGUAGUAAUAUCGGAAAUCCCUCAAGUAAUAUGGGGGCUCAUGGUAGGACUACUAACUGGGCUAAAGUCGUAACAAGGUAACC
rnacentral:rRNA from 1 species